ensembl:lncRNA
CGGGGGCGCUCGUUGGCCUGGCGGCCCGCCAGGCCUGAACAAUGGUAGGGGAAACACUGCAUUUGCUUCAGAAAAGUUGUCUGUGUGUGUAUGCAAACUCGAGUUUGCUUGUCCCGAGUAACGAGUACUCGUGUAAUCGAUUCCUCACGCCCAUCCCUAGAAUUAACCAUUUCAUUGUGCUUUAACUAGCAAAAAGGGAAUACACCAUUGUAUAGUAUUGUUCCUGAGCUAAACUUGCAGGAUAAAAGUAAUAAUCAUAACAUGGACAAAUGUAAAGGGGCAGGUAUAUUUGGGCAUAUUCGCUUCUACAUUUGCACUGUUCUACAUUCAAAAAUAUUUCCCGUUUGCAGAGAAAAUUAACAACUUAGAUAAGACAAAAUAAGCAAUCUUUUUCAAGGAAAUAAAGGAUCUUCAAGUUUGACACAAUUACAAACAGUUAGAUAGUGCUAGUCAAAGCAAAUAUUUUUUUCCUUGAUUGAAAAGGUGCUAUGUUCAAAAGAGCAGUGGGUUGAAGGAGACGGGUCGAACCCUGUUUUCAGUCCGUCUCACAGUUAAUCUAAGAGGUCUUUUAUUUCAGGAGGAUCUCCACAGCAGCCCUGUGUCUCUGGGUUGUACUGGACGUCUCCACAGCAAAGGCUUUCCUUCUGUUCCUUCAUAAGGAUCUUCGCAUUGUGCAGACUUCCACAGCACAACUGCCGGUCCUCAUUAUAGGCCUCUGUAGGAAACACAAGGUUGUUAAAAACCUUGCCAAAUUUGACCCAGUCGGUGCUGACCACUUGACGAGCAUACGAUCAGACUACCGCUUUGUUCGGCGUUCUUAAACCAACAAAAUCUAAACUUCAAUGGCUUUCUUAAUCUCUAAACCUAAAUAGAUCUCUAAUGAUGAAAAACAUUCUAACAUCCUUGGCUAACCUCCAAUGGUAAUGCUAUGAUAACAAAUCCCCUCUGUUGGCCGCCUAUAUUCCAGACAGGCUCAUUCCGACACAAAAACACACACACACACAUACACUUACACAUACACACACACACACACCUACCCCAGCAGGGCAGCCGCGUAGGCCCUGUUACCACCUGACAGUAACAUGCGUCUUAAAUGAGCCAAUCAGGGUUGGACAGUAUCGCCCCACUCCACACACCAAACCCGAUACGAAGGACCAGACUGGAUUCAGACCACAAACCAUGUCACAUCUACUCUGUGUUUUGUAACGGAUGAUCGUUACUCACCCUGUCCACAGUACUUAGACAAUGUUCCGGGUUCCGACACCAUGUGGUUUGCUCAGCGCUGUGUCUGUGGGUUGUACUGGACGUCUCCACAGCAAACGCUGUCCUUGUGUUCCUUCUUAAGGAUCUUCUCACUGCGCAGACGUCCACAGCACAACUGCCGGUCCACAUUAUAGGCCUCUGUAAAAAACACAAUUACUGUAUGCACUCUUAUAUUCUAGAUCAGUGGUCUUUAACCUGGGGUUCAUGGAGGUGCUUCAGAGGG